rnacentral:rRNA from 1 species
GAUGAACGCUGGCGGCGUGCCUAAUACAUGCAAGUCGAGCGAACAGACGAGGAGCUUGCUCCUCUGACGUUAGCGGCGGACGGGUGAGUAACACGUGGAUAACCUACCUAUAAGACUGGGAUAACUUCGGGAAACCGGAGCUAAUACCGGAUAAUAUAUUGAACCGCAUGGUUCAAUAGUGAAAGACGGUUUUGCUGUCACUUAUAGAUGGAUCCGCGCCGCAUUAGCUAGUUGGUAAGGUAACGGCUUACCAAGGCAACGAUGCGUAGCCGACCUGAGAGGGUGAUCGGCCACACUGGAACUGAGACACGGUCCAGACUCCUACGGGAGGCAGCAGUAGGGAAUCUUCCGCAAUGGGCGAAAGCCUGACGGAGCAACGCGGCGUGAGUGAUGAAGGUCUUCGGAUCGUAAAACUCUGUUAUUAGGGAAGAACAAAUGUGUAAGUAACUAUGCACGUCUGGACGGUACCUAAUCAGAAAGCCACGGCUAACUACGU